rnacentral:lncRNA from 1 species
GGAGAAUUUAACAAAGUGUCUUCAUUCAGUAGGGGGCCAAACUAAAUACUCGGUGCAGCAACCCUCGCCUGGGUCAGGUCAAUCGGCUGCCAGCCGGAUUGGCCGGCGUAUCAUUCCAGAAUGUACUGUUUGUUCUGUGGGGUUUAGGAGUUCUACAGUGGUUCUGCCCCAUCUUUCUAAAAAUACAGGUCACCAAGGAAGCCAGAGUGGAGGCUGCAGGGAAUAUGGAUUUAAAUGAAUUUUGGCUGUACCAUCAAGCAGUCUGAUCACUGAGGAAAUAUCAAAAGCUUCACCCGAGUGACUCAUCACCCAAAUUCAACAGAG